rnacentral:rRNA from 1 species
CAGGUCACUCCUACGGGAGGCAGCAGUAGGGAAUCUUGCGCAAUGGGCGAAAGCCUGACGCAGCCAUGCCGCGUGAAUGAUGAAGGUCUUAGGAUUGUAAAAUUCUUUCACCGGGGAAGAUAAUGACGGUACCCGGAGAAGAAGCCCCGGCUAACUUCGUGCCAGCAGCCGCGGUGAUACGAAGGGGGCUAGCGUUGCUCGGAAUUACUGGGCGUAAAGGGCGCGUAGGCGGACAUUUAAGUCAGAGGUGAAAGCCCAGGGCUCAACCUUGGAAUUGCCUUUGAUACUGGAUGUCUUGAGUUCGGGAGAGGUGAGUGGAAUGCCGAGUGUAGAGGUGAAAUUCGUAGAUAUUCGGCGGAACACCAGUGGCGAAGGCGACUCACUGGCCCGAUACUGACGCUGAGGCGCGAAAGCGUGGGGAGCAAACAGGAUUAGAUACCCUGGUAGUCCACGCCGUAAACGAUGAGUGCUAGUUGUCGGCAUGCAUGCAUGUCGGUGACGCAGCUAACGCAUUAAGCACUCCGCCUGGGGAGUACGGUCGCAAGAUUAAAACUUAAAGG